rnacentral:lncRNA from 1 species
ACUUGCGCACCACCGCCUUAGUUGGUUGCGUGCAGGCAAGCGGCCCCGCACCGGGCCAGGCCACCCCCUGCCAUCUCCGGUGGACCUGGGAUUCCUAAUCUCCCACACCCUGCGCCAGGCUCUCCCGAGACCUAUCGCCUCUCGGCGCCAGUCCUAGCCAAGGCGACAGAUCUCAUUGUUGCAGGCCCUUAGACCCCCGCCCUCAGUAAACGUGUUUACUUUAUUCCUAGGGUUGAGGAGGAAAGCAGAUACAGACAUAUAGCAUUCCCCACUGUCUCCUUUGUUGGCUUUAAAAAAAAAAAAAAAGAAAGUAAAUGGACUUGCCACAGUGUACAGGCAAGAGGAGGGGAGGAUUAUCCUAAUCAAUUACUGAGCCAAUUGAUUUUUUUUUUUGCGUUAACGUAGGUAUUUUGACCAAGAUUUGUAAUGUCUAGUGUGUGUUCUUUAUGGCAGUGUUUCAUCUUUUGGCAUCCUUGAAAUGUCAGUUUUGUGUAAUUGUCUCAUGAACAAUGAAUUAUGCACACCCUUUAAUAAAUGUAAACUAACAAUUGGUUUUGGGAUUGUCUUCUUACAAAAUUAUUUAUCCUCUUAAAGUUUAAAAAGGCUUUAGAGACUGAGAGGAAAAUGCAUUUGAUUAAACAGAUAGUACUGAUGAACUCCAAAAACGUGUAUUGUGCGUUUUCAUUACUUUACGUUUUAAUGCACUCUAAUUUCCCAUUAAACUAGGUACCCAAACUGUGUUUAAAAGUUGCUACUAAAAAGUUAAACAUGCCUAUCGCGGUCGCUCACCUCUGAGCGCUUUGGGAGGACAAGGCUGGAGUAUCGCUUGAGGCCAGCAGAUACAGGCGGACAGCUGUGAUCAAGCCACUGCACUGCAGCCUGUGGGCCAGAGCCGGUAAUCUCUAAAUGUAGAGGCCAGGUAUUUCAGUUUU